UUAUGAAAUAAUGGGAAGGGGGGCCUUAAUGAGCAGAAAGCAUCCUCAGCUGGAGAUAAAUAUAUGCAAAUGAGAUGCACAAACAAAGGAGCCUGGACAGAGAAAUAUCUGCAAUUCUAGCAAAAUGCUGCCUGCAGCUCGAAGAUGAACAGCUUUGAUAAAAUGCGAGAAAUAUUCCUCAUGUGGGCGGAGGACUCAGGCACACGGGACCUGCAACAAGCAACGAGGCUAAAAAAUAGUUAAAAUGAAUCAACAUUUAUCUGGAAUCUACAGUCUUGACCUAAAAAAAAAAAAAUCAUUUAUCUUCCGUGUCCUGUGAUGUUUUGAGGAUUCUGGCAAAUAUGGCAGUUAAACAAACUUCUCUCAUAAUCUAAAUACUGUCUGUUCAAGAGAGGCUUCCAAUGUUUAUAGCCCAUAAGUAAAGAAAAAAAAAAAAAAAAAAAAAAACUGGUAUUUCACCAAGAACAGUGCUCUUGAAAAUGUCUCUGAACAAAGUGUUCAAGCAAAACUUUGACCGCAGAUAUUUUCAAUUCCUCAUUCUUCCUCUGAUUUUUUUUUUCAAUGAGGUAUUCUGAUAGUCUCUCCUUUCACUCCUUUUUCUUGAAAGUAAUGAAUGCAUUUCCAAAAAAUUAACGCCUGACUAGUGACCUGGUCAUACAAACUUCCUUGAGAAACAGUUGAGAAGAAAACAUCACAUUUUUAUGAACCCCGUCUCCUGCCAGGGGCCCCGGAGGAGGAACACCAUUAUGCAUUGUUAUCAGCGUGGUGUAAUUUGACUGUUGACAAAGUAUCCGUGGCAGUGAGAAUGAGCGCAGUUAGAAGUGUGGCGGAUUGUAAUCAAGAAGAUGCUUAGCUGUGCAACACUGCAUCUUGAGCAGAUUUGAAUCAACAUUGCCUUAAGGGGACACACACACAUACCAAAAGGAACAAAAAAAAAAAUCCAUUAAUUUUUAGAGGGAAAAUUAGAGUGGCACUUGAUGAAGUGAAAUUUGACAUGCGUUAAUUGCUCUGCAGCUCCCCUAAUUAGAGAUUUUCAA
rnacentral:lncRNA from 1 species